UCGGACAUGGUGUACGGAACACCGCCAGCUUUCUUGAAAACAUUAUAUUACGCUGUAGUCGCUGGCAGUCCGGGGUUCGACUCCCCGUGUCCGAA